CCUACGGGGGGCAGCAGUGGGGAAUAUUGCGCAAUGGGCGAAAGCCUGACGCAGCGACGCCGCGUGAGGGAUGACGGUCUUCGGAUCGUAAACCUCUGUCAGCAGGGAAGAACGGUCACUGUGCUAAUCAGCAGUGAAUUGACGGUACCUGCAAAGGAAGCACCGGCUAACUCCGUGCAAGCAGCCGCGGUAAGACGGAGGGUGCGAGCGUUAAUCGGAAUUACUGGGCGUAAAGCGCGCGUAGGCGGUAUCUCAAGUCAAGGGUGAAAUCCCCGGGGUCAACGUGGGAACUGCCUUUGAUACGGGCAAACUGGAGUGUGUGAGAGGAUAGUGGAAUUCCAGGUGUAGGAGUGAAAUCCGUAGAUAUCAGGAGGAACAUCAGUGGCGAAGGCGACUAUCUGGCACAUAACUGACGCUGAGGAGCGAAAGCGUGGGUAGCAAACAGGAUUAGAUACCCGAGUAGUC
rnacentral:rRNA from 1 species